rnacentral:misc_RNA from 1 species
AACGCACCUUGCGCCUCUUGGUAUUCCGAGAGGCAUGCCUGUUCGAGUGUCAUAUAAUCAUCAACGCGAAAGUUUAUUCUUUCGACGCUUGGAAUAUGGAGUCGUGCGAGCGCCCUUCACCGGGCUUCGCUCCUCUCGAAAUGUAUCGGUGACCGUCUCAUUCGCGGAUCCUCCGGCGUGAUAAUUAUCUACGUCGCUGCGCAUCCGCGUCCAACAGACGUCGCCUACAACCGUCCCUUCGCGGACAGACUUAUGACGAAUUUGACCUCGGAUCAGGUAGGAUUACCCGCUGAACUUAA